rnacentral:rRNA from 1 species
UACGUAGGGUGCGAGCGUUAAUCGGAAUUACUGGGCGUAAGCGUGCGCAGGCGGUGAUGUAAGACAGAUGUGAAAUCCCCGGGCUCAACCUGGGAACUGCAUUUGUGACUGCAUCGCUGGAGUGCGGCAGAGGGGGAUGGAAUUCCGCGUGUAGCAGUGAAAUGCGUAGAUAUGCGGAGGAACACCGAUGGCGAAGGCAAUCCCCUGGGCCUGCACUGACGCUCAUGCACGAAAGCGUGGGGAGCAAACAGG